AACGAACAAGAAAAUAAUCAAUCACAUACUGAUUUUAGAUACGAAAAUAUCAAACAAAAUACGGACAAAAUAAAACUAACCAAUUAACCGGAUGGAAAUCAUGACGAAUUCGAAUGGAAACAAAUCUGCCCGAAACUUUUGAAACCCAAAAUAAACUCGAAUUUGCCCAGAAGACUCAACCACGAACAACAGCGAUCUUCAGAAAACUUCAUCUCUCUCGCAACGGAACAGAAUUUAAAAAAAAACUUAAAAUGAUUCUACCCAGAAUCUCUUCGAGCGAGUACAUAGAUGAAAAACAAAUCAAACCGACUCAAUUACAUAGAAAAUAGACUCAGCCCGGAACAUCGCUUAUGGGAAACCGUUUGCCCGUUUCUCCUCCAUUUUUUGACUAAAGAUCAGCGUUCCAAUCACUGCCAUUCUCCUCUACUGCAUCUGCGUAUAAGGCUGAAGAAGAAGUAGAAGGGUGGUGAGGGAUUCGUCCGGUCGUUCAUCCUCAUUCAGCCUUUGAAACCUUAAGGAGAAGAAGUCCAUUUUCUUCUUCACAGAAGAGGCUUGAGAGGAGGGUCUGUGUGUGUUUUGUGUUCUAGCAAGAGGGAGCUGAUGGGUGUUUAUGGUCGUUUGGCUUCAGGGGGUGGUGGGGUGUGAAGGAGAUGAACUUUUGGGGGUGGGGUUCCUCUGAUGUUGCGGCUGUCAGCUCAGGUCAUCGGGAAGAAGACGAAGACGAGAGGAUGGGGUCUGUGCGAUGAAGAAACGAUGGGGCUGGACUUCGCUGGUUUAGCGAUGAUGGACGAUGCAGCACCUGCUGCAUCAAUGGCGACGUGAGGGUGGUUGACGGGUGGUGGUUGACGACUGGAGGCGGACGUGGACUAUUUACAGGUGUAGGGGCAGUGGUGUUCGGACGACGGAGAGGAAAUUGUUACGUCGUGACUAUGAAGGGUCAUUUGGUUUGGUUGUCGACAUGAACUGGGGGGUAUUUUGGUAGCGGGGUCGUGGUUUAUGGCUGGAGGUCGACUGGCGGGGAAGGGCAGCCAUGGAUGUGGAGCUUGGGUGGUUUGUAGGGUUGAAGGAGAUAGGGGUGGGUUGAGGAAGAUGAAUAAAAGGGGGUGGGGUGUAGGGUGUGACAGCUAAGGAGUUUAGGAUGUAUUUUAGGGUUGUUUGUUUAAGUGAAAGAAUAGGAAAAUUUUGAAAAAUCAAAAGGGAGGGUGGAAAUGGACUGCGUGAGGUGGGUGCUUAUGUGUGACGGCUAGAGAAUUUU
rnacentral:lncRNA from 1 species